CAGUAGCCGCGGUAAUACGUAGGGUGCGAGCGUUAAUCGGAAUUACUGGGCGUAAAGCGUGCGCAGGCGGUUUUGUAAGACAGAGGUGAAAUCCCCGGGCUCAACCUGGGAACUGCCUUUGUGACUGCAAGGCUAGAGUACGGCAGAGGGGGAUGGAAUUCCGCGUGUAGCAGUGAAAUGCGUAGAUAUGCGGAGGAACACCGAUGCGAAGGCAAUCCCCUGGGCCUGUACUGACGCUCAUGCACGAAAGCGUGGGGAGCAAACAGGAUUAGAUACCCGUGUAGUCCCUGUCUCUUAUACA
rnacentral:rRNA from 1 species